rnacentral:lncRNA from 1 species
CUGGGUCGGGGGCUGCAGGUGGGAGUGAGCAAAUGUGCUGUCUCGCCACCUCGGGACAGGUGGUAGGGCCUCUGACACAGAGUGGUCCUUCCUGCUGUUCACAGCUCAGCUCACCGUGGGCUGACCAUAGGUAGAUUCUCGUUGAAAUCCUAACGCCCCAGGCAAUGAUGUUAGGAGGCGGGGCUUCUGGGAGAUGGCAAGUUCGUGAGGCUGCAGCUCUGCUGGGGGAUCAGUGUCCUUCUACAAGCGGCUCCAGGGAGGUCCCUUGCCCCUUCCACCAUGUGAGGACCCGAGAUGGUGCCGUCUAUGAACCGGGAAGUGAGUCCUCUCCGGACGUGGAACAAGUUGGUGCCUUGAUUUUGAACUUGCAGCCUCCAGGUAUGAAUGUGAGCUCUGGGCUCACUGCCUGUGGGGAGCCCUGCCUCACAAGGAGGGGUCCCUCUGCAUCUGCCAUGCAUGGCUGUUUCAAUCAAAGCUGCUGUCUAACACCACCGGCUCGACCUUGAGUUCCUCCCUGAGCAAAGCCAAGCGACCUCCUGGACUGAGCCAGUUUUCGUGCCUGCCUGCCCUGGCUCAUUGGCCAGGGACCCCACCCCGCCAUGUCCAGGCCUUGGUGAUACAGGACAGAGGUGCCCGUGCAGGUUGUGCCUGUGGCUGGGUCCCCAGGGAGAAGGUGGCAACCCCAGGCCAGCAGCCUCCUACCCUGAACUCCAGGCAACAUCGUCGGCCCCCUGGCACUGCACCUGCACUGUGGGCAGAGAAGGAGGGAAGGCUGGGAGAGGAGGAGGAGGUCGAAUGUCGCUGGAGGUCGGCGUCCUUCUGCAGCCGUGGCUUCAUGGGGUUUAAGUACGAUGAUGCUGCAUUGAGACGUUGUACUGUGUGAAGUCAGGGCCUUCUGUGCAUCGGUCGAGGGUGCAAUGCACACGGCACCCCCGAGCAGCCACCCAUCCUCCCUUCCCUCCACCCUGCGAGGCCCCGUUGUCCGUCUGUCCACACUCUGCUCCAUGAGCACACGUGACUUAGCUUCGCCUUGUGAGCCGCUGCUUGGGGUGAGCAUGCUUCCUGCUGGAUGCUUCUCUAUGUAAGCACCUGCCUGAGUGUCAGCCCUCUUAAGGUGAACCGCUCCGUGUCAUUCGUACAUUCACAAGUUUGUGCCGCCAUCAUCGUGAUCGGAUUCCAAAACAUUUUCAUCACCUCCAAGAAAGCCUUGUACCUGGCAGCAGUCACUGUCUCUAUGGAUUUGCUUAUUCUGGACAUUUCAUAAAAAUAGAAUCAAACAGCAUUUGGC